rnacentral:rRNA from 1 species
UACAGAGGUCUCAAGCGUUUGUUCGGAUUCAUUGGGCGUAAAGGGUGUGUAGGUGGCGCCGUAAGUCGGGUGUGAAAUUUCGGAGCUUAACUCCGAAACUGCAUUCGAUACUGCGGUGCUUGAGGACUGGAGAGGAGACUGGAAUUCAUGGUGUAGCAGUGAAAUGCGUAGAGAUCAUGAGGAAGACCAGUGGCGAAGGCGGGUCUCUGGGCCUAUACUGACGCUGAGGAGCGAAAGCGUGGGGGAGCGAACAGG